AUUGAACGCUGGCGGCAGGCCUAACACAUGCAAGUCGAGCGAGCGGCGGACGGGUGAGUAAUGUAUGGGGAUCUGCCCGAUAGAGGGGGAUAACUACGGGAAACUGUAGCUAAUACCGCGUACCAUAGGAUGAGCCCAAGUGGGAUUAGGUAGUUGGUGAGGUAAAGGCUCACCAAGCCGACGAUCUCUAGCUGGUCUGAGAGGAUGACCAGCCACACUGGGACUGAGACACGGCCCAGACUCCUACGGGAGGCAGCAGUGGGGAAUAUUGCGCAAUGGGGGCAACCUGACGCAGCCAUGCCGCGUGAAUGAAGAAGGCCUUCGGGUUGUAAAGUUCUUUCGGUAGCGAGGCGUUAACUACAGAAGAAGCACCGGCUAACUCCGUGCCAGCAGCCGCGGUAAUAC
rnacentral:rRNA from 1 species